AGUUUGAUUAUGGCUCAGGAUGAACGCUGGCGGCGUGCCUAACACAUGCAAGUCGAACGAAGCAUAUCUGACGGAGAUUCGUCGAAGCCGGGUAUGACUUAGUGGCGGACGGGUGAGUAAUGUAUGAGCAACCUGCCUUUCAGAGGGGGACAACAGUUGGAAACGACUGCUAAUACCGCAUAAUGUAUUUGGGUGGCAUCACUUGGAUACCAAAGGAGCAAUCCGCUGAAAGAUGGGCUCAUAUCUGAUUAGCUUGUUGGCGGGGUAACAGCCCACCAAGGCGACGAUCAGUAGCCGGACUGAGAGGUUGAACGGCCACAUUGGGACUGAGAUACGGCCCAGACUCCUACGGGAGGCAGCAGUGGGGAAUAUUGGGCAAUGGGCGAAAGCCUCGACCCAGCAACGCCGCGUGAAGGAAGAAGGUCUUCGGAUUGUAAACUUCUUUUAUGAGGGACGAAGGACGUGACGGUACCUCAUGAAUAAGCCACGGCUAACUACGUGCCAGCCGCGGC
rnacentral:rRNA from 1 species